AUUGUUCUCAGUGUGGAGACAUCCCGCUGCCCUCCCUAUCUUCCUGAGGAUCAUCGUGUGGGUAUCAGAGCUGCUGAUCCUCACUUUUCAGAUUUCAGGUUUCUUCUUCUGACACUGAAUGUCCAGAAAGAAAAGAGGGAGCGACAUGUCUUCUCUAAGAACUAAAUUUUUAUAAAAUCACUGUGUCCUUCCUGUCAGUGGCAGCUCCAGGAAGACAGGCAAGGUGAAGACAGGAGGACACCGUGUGAUGACAGAGAUGGGACUGGAGCAAUGCAGCUGCAUGUGGAACCCCAUGGCCUGCCAGGAAGACCCACGCAUAAAGAAAGACAGGGAGCAAAUUGGAGCCAAGCCCCGACACACCACAACUGCAGACUUCCCUCCUCCAGAACUGUACGACAGUGCUCUUUCUGUUCUGUAUUGCUGAUGGCAACCUGGACGGCAGUCCUGAAAAUGAACACAGGCAAGAAAUGAUGUUUAGGACAACAAGCUUUUGCUGUAAAGGUGAAAGAUGGGGAUCAUUUUGGCCUCGCGGACAGCCCCCCCCCCCCCGUUAACAUUUCAGUAGUUCAGCUUCCCCUAUAAAAGAAACAUUAAUUAGGGUGUGAGAGCUCAGGGCUGAGAUGAGACAAGGUACCUCUUAUGUGCCCAGGAAUGAAGCAGAUAUUGAUUGAUUUUUGGUUGAUGAAGGCUGAAAUUUACUAAAAUCUGACUUGCAGAAAUAAUGUUUGCCUAAGGAUAAAGCUCACUGAAUUUACCCCAUUUCAUGGUCUACCAAAUUUUUUCACAUUGAAUAGGAUAGCUUUAAUAACAAUUGGAGUUUUCUGGUGAGAUUUAGCUAGCUGCCCUUUAGUUUUGUUAACCAGUAUUUAUGUAAGAUUCAGCUUCUUAAAAGUUUAAGAUAAUAUAGUUCUCUUAUGAAUGAAUAUAUUUAGGAUUCAAUAAAGUAUAUUUAUCACCAGGAACCCCAAGUCAGGGUUUAUAUUGAAAUUUACACUUAAUAAAUGUACCAGUUUAUAAAGUUUGCAACAAAUUGUGCUGCUUUUGACAAUUUCAGCAACCUUCGAGUUUAUUUUAGU